ensembl:snRNA U4 U4 spliceosomal RNA
AGCUUUACGCAGUGGCAGUAUCGUAGCCAAUGAGGUUUAUCUGAGGCAUGAUUAUUGCUAAUUUUAAAAAAUGAGUCGUCUCAAAGAUUGGGAAAGUCUCAUUUUUCCCAUUGCACUUACUCUACCCCACCCCAGACAGCAGGUGC